UUUGGCUAUUAAACAGGCAUCAUUAAGUCCUCCCAAGAAGUCUGCGGAGGAGUUGAACAUUAGUUAUAAUUUGGAUGUUCCAAUGCAUGCAUUUGAUGAUUCGGGAGCCCCAAAAUCAGUUGAAGACAGUGAAGGUGAAGCUGAAAAAUCCAUCACAUCAGAAGUCAGAGAUAUUCCAAAACCGGAUGAAGAAAUUAAUUCAGAAUCUAGCAAGCAGUCUGAGAGAAAUUCAUUGAAUACUCCUGAGCAGUCUGCAAAGGAGUUGAACUUUGUUUGUACUAUGGAUGAUCCAGUAGUUCACAUGAAUAGUGGUGCAGUUGAAAAAUCCAUCGAGCAGGACGUUAAGCACCUUUCAAAACCAGACGAGGGAAGUAAUUUAGAAUCUAGCAACCAUAUUGAGAGCAAGUCAUCAAAUUCUAUCGGGAUGCCUGCAAAGAAAGUUAACAUUCCUUACUAUGUAGAUGAUCCUGUAGUCCAAAUAAAUGUUUCUAUGAUAGACAUGAAAUCAAGUGAAGAUAGGGAUAG
rnacentral:misc_RNA from 1 species